rnacentral:snoRNA from 1 species
GAGACUAUACUUUCAGGGAGCAUUUCUGUCAUUAUUAGAGAAGUUUCUGUGAACAUGUAAAGCAACAAAAGCCACAAGGAAGUGGCACGGUGUUGUCAUUGAUUAUCAUUCUUCCAUCAGGAGAAGAGAGAGGGAGAGAAUGGAGUCCAAGUGG